AUAAACAAUUGUCAUUGAACAAAGCCGCUCCAAAGCUGUGUGAUUUCACAUUAAUUUUUUUCUUCACUUUCUUAUUCUUGAUAUCAAUUAGAUAUAUCUGUCUUGAAUAGCUUUCAUCACCUGACGUGAUCACAAGGGUAUCAUUCCCUAUAGAAACCACAUCAUACAGGGGACCAAUAUUCUUCAUUUCGAAAUCUUCAGAUCCAUCUAUUCUAAAGACUUUAAUUUUACCCCAAUGCGAACACAUGAACACCAUUCUACCAUCAGGAAGCAUGGAACAACCAUUGACAUUUGCCAACAUUGUGUACAUCUUGCGUUCUAAGGUGAGUGUUUUAUUAUAAAAAAAAUUCUAGACAGUUCCGAUUCUUCAGUAUUUAAUGAAGUGACAUGAUUUUCUGUUUCUGUCGAGACAUCAUGUCGCUCUUUACAUUCUUCAUUUAAACCUGUAUUGCAAACUUGGCACCCAGUUAUGGAUUGUUUAUCAUCGUGUGUGGAUUUAUCACUUUGAGGUUGGUUGCAAUAGCCAGUAAUAAUACUUUUAUGAGCCAUAACCUGCAAUUAUAAACAUAAAUAGAAAGUUGCAUUUUAUUCGAACAGCACCAACAUUAAUUGGCAAUGGACAACAUUAUGCAUCAAUAAUUACAGACCGACAACAUAGAGUAGCAAUUCUGAAACUUGUCGAUUC
rnacentral:lncRNA from 1 species